rnacentral:tRNA from 1 species
AGAGGUUUAGGUUAACAGUUAAACCAAGGGCCUUCAAAGCCCUAAAUAAGAGUUAAACUCUUUUAACCUCUG